rnacentral:rRNA from 1 species
GCUAGCGGCAGGCUUAACACAUGCAAGUCGAACGGUAACAUUCCCGCUUGCGGGAGAUGACGAGUGGCGCACGGGUGCGUAACGCGUAUGCAACCUACCUUCAACAAAGGAAUAGCCCAGAGAAAUUUGGAUUAAUACCUUAUAAUAUUUUCAGUUCGAUUGAACUGAUUCUUAAAGAUUUAUCGGUUGAAGAUGGGCAUGCGUGACAUUAGCUAGAUGGUAAGGUAACGGCUUACCAUGGCGACGAUGUCUAGGGGUUCUGAGAGGAAGAUCCCCCACACUGGUACUGAGACACGGACCAGACUCCUACGGGAGGCAGCAGUGAGGAAUAUUGGACAAUGGGCGCAAGCCUGAUCCAGCCAUGCCGCGUGAAGGAUGACUGCCCUAUGGGUUGUAAACUUCUUUUAUAGAGGAAGAAACCUUUCUACGUGUAGAAAGCUGACGGUACUCUACGAAUAAGGACCGGCUAACUCCGUGCCAGCAGCCGCGGUAAUACGGAGGGUCCAAGCGUUAUCCGGAUUUAUUGGGUUUAAAGGGUCCGUAGGCGGGAUUUUAAGUCAGUGGUGAAAGCCUACAGCUCAACUGUAGAACUGCCAUUGAAACUGGAAUUCUUGAAUGUGAUUGAAGUGGGCGGAAUAUGUCAUGUAGCGGUGAAAUGCUUAGAUAUGACAUAGAACACCGAUAGCGAAGGCAGCUCACUAAGUCAUGAUUGACGCUGAUGGACGAAAGCGUGGGGAGCGAACAGGAUUAGAUACCCUGGUAGUCCACGCCGUAAACGAUGAUUACUAGCUAUUGGCGAUACACAGUCAGUGGCAUAGCGAAAGUGUUAAGUAAUCCACCUGGGGAGUACG